rnacentral:rRNA from 1 species
GUGGGGAAUCUUCCGCAAUGGACGAAAGUCUGACGGAGCAACGCCGCGUGAACGAUGACGGCCUUCGGGUUGUAAAGUUCUGUUAUACGGGACGAAUGGUACGACGGUCAAUACCCGUCGUAAGUGACGGUACCGUAAGAGAAAGCCACGGCUAACUACGUGCCAGCAGCCGCGGUAAUACGUAGGUGGCAAGCGUUGUCCGGAAUUAUUGGGCGUAAAGGGCGCGCAGGCGGCGUCGUAAGUCGGUCUUAAAAGUGCGGGGCUUAACCCCGUGAGGGGACCGAAACUGCGAUGCUAGAGUAUCGGAGAGGAAAGCGGAAUUCCUAGUGUAGCGGUGAAAUGCGUAGAUAUUAGGAGGAACACCAGUGGCGAAAGCGGCUUUCUGGACGACAACUGACGCUGAGGCGCGAAAGCCAGGGGAGCAAACGGGAUUAGAAACCCGGGUAGUCC